AUUUUGUGCAAUGGGGGAAACCCUGAUCUAGCCAUCCCGCGUGUAUGAUGAAGGCCUNNNGGUUGNACAGUACUUUUGGCUGGNAAGNAAAGGUAUCCCCUAAUACGGGAUACUGCUGACGGUAUCUGCAGAAUAAGCACCGGCUAACCACGUUCCAGCACCCGCGGUAAUACGUAGGGUGCAAGCGUUAAUCGGAAUUACUGGGCGUAAAGCGUGUGUAGGCGGUUCGGAAAGAAAGAUGUGAAAUCCCAGGGCUCAACCUUGGAACUGCAUUUUUAACUGCCGAGCUAGAGUAUGUCAGAGGGGGGUAGAAUUCCACGUGUAGCAGUGAAAUGCGUAGAUAUGUGGAGGAAUACCGAUGGCGAAGGCAGCCCCCUGGGAUAAUACUGACGCUCAGACACGAAAGCGUGGGGAGCAAACAGG
rnacentral:rRNA from 1 species